AAAAGUUACUACAUUUAGCAAUAAACAGAAGAAAAUUUAUGUGAACUGGGAUCUCAAAAGUAAAAACGCUAUGGUUAUAAAAAAUCAGAUUUAGCAAGAUUUUAUACUUGUAAAAUUACUUUAUCUUAUCCACCAUGUAUAGUAAAUUUUGACAAGCAGUAAUGGUUAAAAAUUAUUCCUACCAUAAUACUAUGUUAUAUUAGUUUAUAAUCCCGCAUUAGAAACGAAUGUCAUACGCUAUUUUGUGGUCGAAGUAGCUAUAAUGGAACCUCAAUUCCAAUUUCAAAUCUCAAUUCUAUUUUCAUUUAUAAUAACAUAACAAGUGAUAUGAUUAUUAUCGAUAAUAUUUCGAGUGAAACCGAAAUCUGCAGAUUCAACGAGUGCGAAGUACGAGUUGAAUGUGCUGCUUGGGUUUCACGAACCAUAUCUUCGAUUAUUAAUCAUAUCACGAGUUAUAUUCAGAUAUAAUAUAACAAGUGAUAUGAUUAUUAUCGAUAAUAUUUCGAGUGAAACCGAGCUGCAGAUUCAACGAGUGCGAAGCACGAGUUGAAUGUGCUGCUUCGGUUUCACGAGCCAUAUCUUCGAUUAUUAAUCAUAUCACGAGUUAUAUUCAACAUGAGAAUAUAAUAAAUGAACGCAUUUUUUGAUAAUAGAGUUCAUUUCGUCGUUUUGAGCUUGCCUCCAACGUUGGCAAGCCAUAAAAGACAAAAAAAUUUAUGAAAUUCUAAAAUUCGUCAAUUUGACAGUUUUUAAAUUUAGGUAGCAACAGACCACAAUAAGGCAAUAAAAUUAUUAUCGCUGUGAUAGACAUGUAACUAAGGGCAUGAACAAAUUCUAUUGGAAGAAAUGGGGUCAUGUGAUACAUGAAUUAUAUUCUCAGUUUAAUAAAAAUAAAAAUGACAAUUUAUGACGUUUUUUCAAACAAUUUCAAUGUUUCGUGAAAAAUCCCUAGUGUACUAUUUUGUUUCCAUGACACCUCUUUAUGGCACUAUAAAUCGUGUAAUAAUGAAAUCGUGCCGUAAUGUGACGGAUUAUAAACAAAUUGUAGUGUGACAAAAGGCAAUUAUCAGACUACUCGACCACAAAAAAUAUUAUUUGACUACAUUGUAACAUAGGUAAUGCGCUUGCCAAUUGGACGUAAGAUUACCGUAAUAAUAUAAUAACAUAUUCUUAGUAACAUCAAAUAUUUUUUCUAUGUUUAGUUCGUAUUAUUCUAAUACAGUGUGAUUAAUUUAUCUGUUCACGCCACACAUUUUACUUUCCAUAAACGACUUCGUCUUAAUUUAAUUUAAUUAAUAAAUAACGUGUAGACAGCAAUAAUUGGUCCAAAAUUAUGAUAAAUUAAUCCUAGCAGUCAAAUUAUUUUCAACUUUUGCUAACAGUGUUUUCGAAUUCCGAAAAAACCACCGAUAUGCUUUUAACUUUUGGAAAAGUCUGAUGGAACUUUCGAUGCUGCCGUUCGUCUACAUGUCAGAUGAUACAAUUCCUUCUAACCAAGCAUUUAGAAGGCUCGAAAAAAACUUACGAGCAGUUGAUCAAUUUAAGAAAACUAAAGUUAGACGUCCUACAAUGAUAAAUCCUCACCGUGUGUCAACGGCCGAUCGCAAGACAAAUGCAGAUUAUUCAGAGUUCGGUUUUUAACAUCCUGAGGGCAAAUCGAUUUCACCCAUGCCGUUUCAGCCUUUCCAAUUCAAAAUCAAGAUCUUUUGCGCGAAGAUAUUUUGAGGACUUAUUAUAGGAUACCUAUUUAUUUAUUUUCUUUUCUUUAUAUUCGUUUAAGGAGUGAAGAAAUUACGUUCUAUUUUAUUUGAAUUUUGCCAUUAUUAGUUCCUUGAGGUCAUUGUUGUUGUUGCAUUUACUAUGAUUGCUAAUUUAAAAAGAUUAAUAGACUGAUCAAAGUUGCUUAAGAUAUGUGUAAUCUGUGUGCCUACACGAAAGUUUUAAAGAUAAAAUAAUCACCCUGUUAAAUAUGUAGUAAUAUUUAUAAUAUAUUCGAGAAAUCUUAUAGAAUUAUAUUUAUUUUAAAAUGUUAAACACAUGCUCAUUUUUCAUGAGAUGUGUUAUAUAUUUUUUUGAAAUGUAUAAUUUGAUGAUGAGGCAAAUCAUAUAUCUGUUACUCUGAUUAUCAUUUUUGUGCACAUGUUUCAGUAGCAUCUCUAGUAGUCACCUUAGAAGUUAAGAUCACGUAACAUAUGUAUGAGGCAAAUGAACGACAUUAAUUUAAAAAAAAAUGGAGCAGUUUGUACGAGUAUUGUUGAAAUGAAAAUGAUCUUUAUUACAUAUUUAAAAAUCUGUCGAAAAUAUGUUACGUACAUAAAUAUUGUGUUUUACAUAUUUAAUAAAUAUUUUGUGCUACUGGG